UAUAAUAGUCUUAUUGGUAACAACGUCAAAUAUAUCUUUUUUGAGUAAUGCUUCUAUACUUGUUUUUUUCGUUACCGUUCAUUCACUCCUAUUCAACAACUCAAAUUUAAUAUUUUUAAAAUUGUGACCUGCAAUAGCAGGUCAGUUUGGGAGAGGUACUGAUUACCAAGUGCCUCAAAUAAGGGUAUUUUUGUCUUUUAAUACAUGAACAAUUUAAUCAUUUUAUCUCUACUAUAUUAUCAAAAUUUUUAUUCUCUUUUUGGUCCUUUUUCUCUCUCUAUCUUUUCUCUCACAUUUUGACAUUUCAUACCAGGAAAGUUUCAAAUUAUUUGAAAACAUGAUUUUAAAAGAUAAUUUUUCUUUUCUUUUUGUUUAAUUGUUUAAUAUUGCAAAUGAGUUUAAUUUUAAAACUCUAGCAGUUAAAAUGUCAUUCUUUUAAAACGUUUAUUAUCUCUAACGAUUAUAGAUUGUUCUUAAUCUUAUUCAGUUCAAUAAAUCAUAUUCUUGAUAGAAUAAAUUAAGGUCUGAUCAGUCGAAUCAAUUGAUUCAAUCUAGUUUUUAAAUCAUUGAUACUAAUUUAAUUAAAUGAAUAAUAAAAGUUAAGAAGCUAAUUGUAAACUAAAAGGUAAGGAA
rnacentral:lncRNA from 1 species